rnacentral:rRNA from 1 species
UACAGGGGGGGCAAGCGUUGUUCGGAAUUACUGGGCGUAAAGGGCUCGUAGGCGGCCAACUAAGUCACACGUGAAAUCCCCAGGCUUAACCUGGGAACUGCGUGUGAUACUGGAUGGCUUGAAUCCGGGAGAGGGAUGCAGAAUUCCAGGUGUAGCGGUGAAAUGCGUAGAUAUCUGGAGGAACACCGGUGGCGAAGGCGACGUCCUGGACCGGCAUUGACGCUGAGGCGCGAAAGCCAGGGGAGCAAACGGG